rnacentral:lncRNA from 1 species
UCUUCUAUUCUUGGCUUCAAGUUUAGGCUCUUGUUGUAUCUAAAGAGGCCCCGUUCUUGAUUUUCACAUCUUAUUUGUCGUCCAAGUGCUCUUUUCAGAGUCUAAAACUUCAGAAUCCGAGUUGGUCAAAAGAGCUGAGGUUGACGACACUGUGGUGUUUCCAAAGAACUUCAAAUCAUCCUCUCUCAUUCUCUCAGCAUAUUUCUCAGAGUUGAAACUCGAGUCACUGUUUUCCCCACCAAACGCAACCUCGAGUUGCUCCAUAUUGAAGAUAUCCUUCAGAAUCUUCUUGCUUAGGUUAUCAUCUGAGUACACGAAUUCCACCUUGUUGCGUGUCUUUGGGUCUAGAAACGGUUUCACCAUCUUGCAGAUUUAUACAAAUUUCAUCUUUAUGUCAGUAAUAAAAAGUUCCAUGGUACAUAAGAGACUUACAUGAGAGAUUUUUUAAACUAUACCUUCCAAAACGGUUCGAAAAUCUUCGGCGGAUUGUAUAGGACGGCCAAGCCUAAGCGUUCAGGGUAAUGUUCUUGUAACACAUGAGCGGUUUCGCGAGAUACUUUGACUGAUAUAUGCGACAUGUUGAAACCGUGAAAAUCGAUAAGCCAAACCAUUUGGUCUUGGUGAUCCGGUAGAUUCAAGAUUGCGUUUUCCAUGCAGUAUACCAAGAAUCUAAUCUGCCCUGUAAACAUGAAGUAAGCUUAUAGUUUCAUGGUUUUGUUUGGGGUUUUGAUGAUUUAAAUUUGGUUUGUUAAUUUAAGCAGAGGAGAUAGGGCGUUUUGUAGCUUAGAGUGCAGGCAACAGCAGAUUACGGUGGACGAGAGGAAAGAGAAGGGCGUCGUUAGGUCCACCGUCGCCGCCGGAUCCGGCAAAGGAGAGAGAGUUUCCGCCGCCGUGUAGGUCACCUUAACAACUAUAUAUAUUUAUAUCCGUAUGUUGUAUAUGGUUAUUAUUAUUAUGUCUAAAAGCAUAUUGACCGUGAUUAACCUUGUUAAUCAUCUUAAGCUUUGCUUAAACUUAAUUUAAGAGUUAAGACUAUGUUGCUUUGCAUAUUUGUGUUAUACUUAUACCCAUUAAUUUCUAACUAUCUAACUACUUUUACAUUUUUAAAACUUAAAACACCAAUAGUUAACAAGUAUGUCAAAUGUAAAUACUAUACAGAGAGUACGAAAACCGUAUUUGCGUCAAUUUGGAAAAAUAAUUGUAAAUCAAUUUAGGUUAAGUUACAAUAUACAGAUGACAGUGAUCUGCCUUAUGUAUGGUAGUGUAGACAUCAUGUACAAUAUACCGCUAAAAAUACUAAUCGAACUGUUUUUUUUGGUAACUCUACUAAUCGAACUGUUUUUUACGUCAUGCUUCGAUAUUUGAACAUAAGCCUUUUUAUUCUUCGGGUCCGAAUGUCAGAUGUCACGGACCGCAGCCGCACCACACCGCAUAUAAUAGUUAAGUAUGGACAUUCGGGUCUUGGGGACGGAUGACCUGUCAGUCCGGCUUUUCAGGUCUUAGAUAUUAGACCCAAUAGAGUAAUUAGAACUUUUCGGUCCGGGGUCGGUUUGGUCAUGUCGGAUCUGGGUCGGUUGGGUCCAAUUGUCAAGGAAUCGCCAAUACCCACUAUUGUUUUGUUCUUAAAAGUUCCGGGUCAGUUUCAGAUAUUUUGGAUCUGAAAACCUGAAAAAUACCCGAAAACUGAAAAAAAUCUAAAAAAUAUUCAAAUACCCCAAAAAACACCCUAAGUUUUACCCAAAAUCUGACUCAAAGACACGAAAAAUACCCAAAAUUUAAUCUAGUUACAUGAACUAUAUUUUUGAAAAUCUAAAAUUUUACUCGAAACCCAUAACUAUACCCGAAAAUCCAAACCCAAAACUUAAAUAAAUAUCCAUAAUAUCAAAAAUAUAUGGAACACCCGUAUAUACCUAAAUAUACUAGAAGUUUUGGAUAUUUCGGGUCCCCUAUCGGGUCUCGGGUUCGAUUUAGGUCGGGUCCAAGACCGCAAACUAUCCAGACCUAGUUAAUAGUAACAAAAAUCUCUGCACAUACUUACGUAUCGAUAUGUUUUUCUUACUUUUAGAACCGAUCCACAAUUGUUCCAUAGUUAUCCCGUAUGUUGCUAUUCGGACCAUUCAUCUGAAAAAACAAUUUACAUAGAUUUGACGUCAGUCAAGUAAGAAAUCUCAUUGACUAGGUCCCUGGCAACAUUUUAGCAGAUUCUUCCUUUUUAAGGCCGAGAUUCUCUUGAUCCUCUUUGCUUGUGAAAAAAUAAAAAUUUCUUGAAUUUUGUUUCAGCAUAAUAUUAUUUGGAUAAUCCAGUCAAUGCGUUCUUACAUUUCAAUUCUAAUGGGUUUUGUGUUCAAAUAAGAAGAAUCUUCUCUCUUGUAUAAGAAAAACAAAAAAAAAAUUGAUUACAUGUAGUAGAAGUAGAUGAUGGUUGUGAUAUAAUUCUGAAUUUUAUGUAAACGCCAACUUGGAUAAGAAAUAAUCGUAGCCAAUAUCUUAAAGAACAUUAGGAUACUACCCGUGUUGGAAUGCGGGUUAUAAUUCUUUUCAUUUAUAAAAUUGAUAAAAUAAAAUAAUUGUGUUUUGUUAAGCCAUUAAAAAAAAGUUUGGUUAUUUAACCUUGUGUUGCAAAGUUAAACUCAUUGUUUAUAGUUAAUGUUUUAUUUUAAGAAUUCAUAAAUGAUGUAGUCAAACAUAUCUCAUCUAUUCUAGUAAAAUACUGGAUAAUUUAUUGUAUAAACUUCAUCAUAAAGAAAAUAAUGAUAAAUUAUGGCAUGACAUACUAAAUAAUGCUUUUCGUAAAAUCUUAGAUGUUAGUAAAGGCUAUUACCUGUUAAGGAAAAUGUUUGACAAAAUAUUUUACAAAAUUGUGAUAGAUGGCUUGAAGUUUGUGUAAAACCGGCAAAUAACGCUUCAGUUAGUAUCAAAACCAAUUUUGUUAAAGUAUAAUUGUUAAGUGACCACAAAAUAGGACAUAUAUAUAUUUAAUUUGUUAAGUUGGUAGUGAAAUGGUCCAACAAUAAUAGACUUUUGUAUAGUUUUAUUUUUUAGAAUGACUAUUUUAAUAGAGUAAAAAUAAGCAUUAUACUGUGUGAAACAUAUAAGAAUCUGCAGUUUUUUUUUUUGCAGGAAAUGUGAUUUUACGAGUUUGACGGGAAAAUAUGUGUGGGAACCAAAAUUCGCACUAUCAAAUUCGUAUGGGGAGAAAGCGUAGCUUUUACGCCUUCUCUGUUGUUGUAUCUAAAGAGGCCCCGUUCUUGAUUUUCACAUCUUAUUUGUCGUCCAAGUGCUCUUUUCAGAGUCUAAAACUUCAGAAUCCGAGUUGGUCAAAAGAGCUGAGGUUGACGACACUGUGGUGUUUCCAAAGAACUUCAAAUCAUCCUCUCUCAUUCUCUCAGCAUAUUUCUCAGAGUUGAAACUCGAGUCACUGUUUUCCCCACCAAACGCAACCUCGAGUUGCUCCAUAUUGAAGAUAUCCUUCAGAAUCUUC